AUAAAUUGGAUCUUAAUUUUAACCAAAAGCAGACCCUCAGGAAAAUAAAAAAGUAUUAAACAAAUGCUUUUAAACAUUCAGCUGUCAGAUGACAGAGAAACAAGAGAUGCCUUAAAGAAAUCAGCCAACUGGAACAAUGAACAUUUGAUAAGCAAAUGACGUAAUCCAUAAAUCAACCAACCAGAGCGUUGGACUACUACAGAACAGAAGACUAGUGAUCAAAACAAUUGAUGGAAAAAGGACAUCCCCAGGUUGUCGACCAAUCAGAAUGCUGGACUACCAUUACUUGACCAGAACAUUUUAAAGGAAUGAUAUACUCAGGUAGUCAUCUAACAAGAAUGCGAGGCCACAGGUGGAUAAAAACAACUCGUGUCAUUGAGUUAGUAACUAAUCAGGACUAAUUUAAGACCUAGGACUUGAGAACCUAUAUCUUAAAACCUAUAGGCGGACAAGCAAAACAAACAAAGAACAAUACACCGCAGCAGAACUGCUUUCAGAUUUCAUUAAAGUGAGUGUUUGUCUUCAGAAUGACAUUAUUAGGCAGAUGUGAGAAGCUGGAUCUGGCCAGUUUGACCAUAAAACAGCCGGGAUAUUUGGGCCAGAUAUGACUGGUUUAAACACCAAACAGUUAAUCCAGUAGACAAGAAAUAAGAAAAUAAAAAUUUCAAGUCUUCUCAACUUACCUGGGUUAGAUGAUGUGGAAACACCCAGAACUGUAAUGAGACAGAAAUGUAUAUUAAAAAAAGGUGAAACUUCAUAAACCAGCAACAAGCCAAUCAGUAUUAAGAUUAACAUGAAGUCAAAGCUGAAGUAAAGUAAAACCAUCAUACCUGUAACAGAAGGCUUACAAAAUCUAAGACGAGAUGGUGAAAUAAACGAAGAUGAUACAGUCUGUGGAGAGG